GUUCCUUUCGGCAAGACAGCGGCCAGCAGAUCGACGAUGGCGCAGGAACUCCUCCCCUGGCGAGGAACGCCUCCGUAUGUCGGUGGUUGAUCAGGGAAGACGUCGAGGGCGUCCGGCGCUUAAUUAAUGCCGGCCGUCAGUCUCCCAGCACAUCGUUCCUUCAGGUUCAGGCCAUGGUUGUUCUUGCUGCAACUGAUGUCUGUGUCUACCAGUGGAAGUGUCAAGCUCGCCACCAAGUGCAAGGUCAUUGUGUUCCUGCUAACACUGCAGCUCAGCCCAGGGAACAACAUUGUCUCUACAUAUCGAUCUGUUUCUUUCUCUUGCUUAGAAAGUUCAUGCACUGUGACAUCAUAAUUUAACUAAAUGAUUGGCAUAAUCAAAAGGGAGGCCUUGAUCAAAGAACUAGCUUGUGCUUGCACGCUGAGUUUGGCGGCUAAAGAUUUCAGACAUGGCCAAGGAGAAGACUCACACCAACAUUGUGGUCAUUGGCCAUGUCGCCUCUUCGAUGAGCAACCCAGCCAACUUUCCCAAGCACCAAGUCAACCCGAAGGUGGGUCCCAUCAUAGCCAAUAUGAUGGCGAAGACCAAUAGAGGGUCCCAUUGUACAUCUUGAGCUUACCAUGACUCAGCCGUAGUGGCGGUGAUGCACGGCCUUGUGGUCGACCUCUCUGAUGAGCUACUGGUUUACCCCUUUGGAUCUUUGUCUCCCAUGUGGACCAUUGUGCUGUGGCAUUACUAUGUUCUGGUCCUUGAGCUGAUGACUUCCAAUGUGUACAUAAAUAUUCUACUGGGUAGGUUUAGAUAUUCCUUAAUCCUUAUGGUGUCGAUGUUCUUUAUUUGCAUUUUAGAUUUUUGUGGUAUUUCCCUUGAUCUUGAUCAUGCUCCUAUGUAUGUGUUGCGCAAAAGUGAGUUGGUUAUCCUUGUGUAGUUGAGCAAUUAGAAUUUAUACACACAUCUGGUAUCUACAUGAAAGUGUAUUUUUAUACUGUGGCUGACUUUGUGACUAUGUGGGUGCUAUGUGAGCUUUGAUGUUUGGUCCCCUAUUUUUGCAUUUUGCUUUAUAAGAAAAGCAAACCCCUCUAUGAUUAGUAGCUUGAUUCUAGAUAUCAUCUCAAUGUUAUAGUUAGAGCUAUACUAUUAUCUAUUCAUGUUUCAUCAUUGGAACUCAUUUCUGUUGAUUGAAUUUGCAGUGAUACAAAAUUUCCUUUCUUGCACCGAUUUUGAUGUAUUUUAACUGCAAGUUGUAGAACCCUUGGAGCACAGGAGGUUGUUGUCUGCCUUGCCAAGCGCAACCUCGUAGGGGACUUGUAAAGCAGCAUUGCGCUCCCCGUCCCUUCUUCUCCCUCUAGUCUAGACUUUGAAGGACUACCCCUCAAGUUAUGGGAUCCAGGUCAAUGGGUGAGUUCUUCGGUCACAGCUGUGGCCUGCGGGCCGUGCCGUAGGAAUGGUGUCUGGGAGGCAAGGAGGAAGAGAUGUUGGUUGUCUGACCGGGCUGCUUCUGCUGGCAGUCCACCUAGAGUUGCUGCAGGCUAUCUUCUGGUGACCACAUCCCCGAGAUAUUGCCGAUGGCAACGUCUUUGAGCUACUUCUGCCCAACAAUCUCGUGUUGGUGAGCUCUCUCUCCUCCAUCUUAUUCUUGCAGAAAUAUGUUUCCUUUCCCUAAUGAAUUGGAUGUGUGCCAUAUACAAUAAUACUUGUUUCAUUUGGUUGCAUAUAUGUUAUUGAUAGCACACACUUUAUAGAGCAUCGUUUUUUAAGAGGUGGCCA